UCGGACGUGGUGUAUGGCACACACUCGCUCGCAUUAACACAGUUCGGUUCGUGGUUGAUUGUGCGGGAAAACUGGGUUCGAUUCCCGGCGUCUGAA